rnacentral:rRNA from 1 species
CCUACGGGCGUGCUGCAGUGGGGAAUAUUGGACAAUGGGCGAAAGCCUGAUCCAGCCAUGCCGCGUGUGUGAAGAAGGCCUUCGGGUUGUAAAGCACUUUCAGUGGGGAAGAAAGCCUUGGGGCUAAUACCCUCGAGGAAGGACAUCACCCACAGAAGAAGCACCGGCUAACUCCGUGCCAGCAGCCGCGGUAAUACGGAGGGUGCGAGCGUUAAUCGGAAUUACUGGGCGUAAAGCGCGCGUAGGCGGUCUGAUAAGCCGGUUGUGAAAGCCCCGGGCUCAACCUGGGAACGGCAUCCGGAACUGUCAGGCUAGAGUGCAGGAGAGGAAGGUAGAAUUCCCGGUGUAGCGGUGAAAUGCGUAGAGAUCGGGAGGAAUACCAGUGGCGAAGGCGGCCUUCUGGACUGACACUGACGCUGAGGUGCGAAAGCGUGGGUAGCAAACAGGAUUAGAUACCCGAGUAGUC